rnacentral:rRNA from 1 species
UACGGAGGGGGCAAGCGUUAUUCGGAAUCAUUAGGCGUAAAGGGCGCGUAGGCGGCUUCAUAAGUCUUGGGUGAAAGCCCUCGGCUCAACCGAGGAAUUGCCUUGGAUACUGUGAAGCUCGAGGCUGGAAGAGGGCAGUGGAAUUCCCGGUGUAGCGGUGAAAUUCGUAGAUAUUCGCAAGAACACCAGUGGCGAAGGCGGCUCACUGGCCCGAUACUGACGCUGAGGCACGAAAGCGUGGGGAGCGAACAGG